AUUUCGAUUUGGCGGUUGAUCUCUCUAGCAAUGCAAAAAUCGUGCGGGCAGCGACCCCACUAAAAUCCUUUCAGGGUCUAUUAACCUUUUGCUCGUAUCCCUCCCAUCCAUAAACUUCUGAGCGGGUAGCAAACAGGCUGAUUAUGACUGUUAGCUAGAAUGAGAAAAAAAAUAGCGAGAGAUGUAAUUGUCGAGAGGACGAUUCAAUAACUCGGCUUAUCACGAAAAUUCAACUUCGUUGUUUUCUUGAUAUCCGGUGCCGAAGAUCGUGAAAAUGGGUUAAUCUGAGGAUUUGAAAGUCUUUUCUCGAUCACUUUGAACUGAUUAGUGGAAGAGGCAGCAGUGAUUCCGAAGUUGUCCUCGCGCCGUGGUUUGAAUAUUGAGAUCGUAGAUAGCCGUAAAGUAUAUUUCGUGCAGUGAGAAGGCGUGCAAACACUGCCGAACAAGAAAGGUUCGUGGCCUAAGCUGCAUGUGCCCGAUCACACCACAUCGGACAACGUCAUCGCUGACCCCACCAUCAGCUUCAGAGGUGUCCUGGGUACGCCCGGAAGAGGGUAUCGUACGCCAAAAGCGUGCCCUAGGCAGGGCGAGAACGAGCGACCGUUCACCGAGUUCAUUCGCUGCGAUUUUCCGCCUAGUUCCGUCGAGGAAAGGCACCCGGCGGGUUCACCUCACCACCCCCCGUUCAUCUCCUGUUCAUCCGUCAUCAGUCGCCGGGCGGCAGCAUAAAAAGGUCGUGAGUACUCAUUCGUGAAUGUAGUGUUGUCCUUGCGCAAGUGACUUUGAGAGCCCGCUACCGAAGGUUGUACCGGUCAGCGUGGCAUGAACGAAAUAGCAUGAACCGUCGCACGAAACCGAGAGAUAGGAAAGCACACGAUAUAGAAACAUAACCCCAAACACGCACGUUGACU